GACAGAGGGGGCAAGCGUUGCUCGGAAUUACUGGGCGUAAAGGGCGCGUAGGCGGGAUGGCAAGUCGGUCGUGAAAUCCUUCGGCUCAACCGAGGAACGUCGAUCGAUACUGCUGUUCUUGAGGAUUGCAGAGGAGACUGGAAUUCCCGGUGUAGCGGUGAAAUGUGUAGAGAUCGGGAGGAACACCGGUGGCGAAGGCGGGUCACUGGCCCGGUACUGACGCUGAGGUGCGAAAGCGUGGGGAGCAAACAGG
rnacentral:rRNA from 1 species